rnacentral:rRNA from 1 species
UACGUAGGGUGCGAGCGUUGUCCGGAAUUAUUGGGCGUAAAGGGCUCGUAGGCGGUUUGUCGCGUCGGGAGUGAAAACUCAGGGCUUAACCCUGAGCCUGCUUCCGAUACGGGCAGACUAGAGGUAUGCAGGGGAGAACGGAAUUCCUGGUGUAGCAGUGAAAUGCGUAGAUAUCAGGAGGAAUACCGAUGGCGAAGGCAGGUCUCUGGGCUGACACUGACGCUCAUGCACGAAAGCGUGGGGAGCAAACAGG